GUAGAAGUCGGCAUUGAGUUCAAUCAAACUGCUUCGGCUGCUGAAAUCCCACGGGCUGAAGACGUUGCAAAGACCUUAGUGGACGCUGUGAAUAACCCCAACAGCACCUUCAACCUCUCUAUUGAUGCCGCUUCUGUCGCUGUAAUUCAAAGCAGUAUUCCGUCAAGUACCCCAACAACAGUGCCUGCUCUGAAUACUACGGCCAAUGCAAGUACAACGAGUGGAACAAACAACACAUCUACAACCAACACAUCCGCAAUGACACCUUUAACUGUAGCACCUGCAACUUCAGUAACAUCGGCAACUAUUACUGAAGCGCCUGCACGAGUGUUUGUCCUCUCAGCUACUUUGCAACAACCAUUCAUAGAAGAACUCAAUGAUCGGACCAGCCAGCAAUUCAGGAAUCUCGAGGCAACAGUUGUGACUGCGUGUGAUUCAAUCUACACGACCAGAUUCGGCGUCCUUUUCAUCCGGACCUUUGUCAUUGUGUUCAGACAAGCUCAGGCGGCAGGACAAAUGUCUAAUACGGAAGUAGAAGUCGGCAUUGAGUUCAAUCAAACUGCUUCGCUUGCU
ensembl:lncRNA